rnacentral:rRNA from 1 species
AUGAAAUUGGCCACGGUUGAUCAUUUCUUGGCUGCUUUUCUGGGUGGUCAACGACUAAAAAACCAUGCUGAACGGCCUGCAGAUGGUACCAAGGGUAGCAUCCUCCUUCUCUGGAAUGAAGACUUCAUUAAGGUUGAUAAUAUUUCCAUGGGCACCUUCAGCAUGUCUACAAACAUCACUAUUGUUAACACACUUAUUUCCUUCAAACUCACUUCUGUUUAUGGUCCUACUAGAAGCAACCUUAAAGAUGCUUUUUCCCAAGAGCUUGUCAGCCUUAAACCGCACCAGGGUACGCGAUGGCUGGUUACGGGUGAUUUCAAUCAAAUCUACCGCGCUCGAGAUAAAAACCGUGCAAAUGUAGACUGCUCUCGUCUUGUGCGCUUCCGAAAUGCCCUCAACUCUUGUGAGCUGAAAGAGAUCCACCUCCAGAACAGAAAUUUCACUUGGAGCAAUGAGCAAGCUAACCCGACCAUGAGCAAGUUAGAUUCUUUCUUCUGCAAUGAUGACUGGGACAUUGAGUUCGGCUCUCACAUCCCGCAUGCUCUCUCGUCCUCCCUCUCAGAUCACUGCCCUCGGCUAUUGGCUAGCGACAAGGGACCAAGACGACCCAAAACUUUCUGGUUUGAAAAUUUCUGGACGAAGUUGCCUAACUUCAAGAGGAUUGUCCAAGAUGCUUGGAGCGAGGAAACAAGCCACUCUGAGCCCUAUCAUGUGCUCUUUCACAAGCUGAAAAGAACAAGUCAAUGCCUUAGGCAGUGGAGCAAGUCCAUCUUCUUGAAUCACAAAGUACAGCUCCACAUGGGCCUAGAGAUCAUCCUCCGCCUCAACGUGGCACAAGAGUGCAGGACACUUAGCAUGGCUGAA